rnacentral:pre_miRNA from 14 species
GGGCCUCGUGCCUCCUGGCGGGCUGCCGUGGUGCAUUGUAGUUGCAUUGCAUGUUCUGGCAGUACCUGUGCAAUGUUUCCACAGUGCAUCACGGAGGCCUGCCCUGGCUGCCCGCUGUGCU